GAUGAACGCUGGCGGCGUGCCUAAUACAUGCAAGUCGAGCGAACAGACGAGAGUGCUUGCACUCUCUGACGUUAGCGGCGGACGGGUGAGUAACACGUGGGUAACCUACCUAUAAGACUGGGCUAACUUCGGGAAACCGGAGCUAAUACCGGAUAAUAUUUAGCUUCGCAUGAAGCAAUAGUGAAAGACGGUUCUGCUGUCACUUAUAGAUGGACCCGCGGUGUAUUAGCUAGUUGGUGAGGUAACGGCUCACCAAGGCAACGAUUCAUAGCCGACGCGAGGGGGGGAUCGGCCACACUGGGACGUGGACACGGCCCAGGCUCCUGCGGGAGGCAGCAGUAGGGAAUCUUCCGCAAUGGAGGGGAAUCUGGCGGAACAAUGCCGCGUGAGUGGAGAAGGUUUUCGGAGCGUAAAACUCUGUUGUGAGGGAAGAACAAGUACGUUAGUAACUGAACGUACCUUGACGGUACCUUACCAGAAAGCCACGGCUAACUACGUG
rnacentral:rRNA from 1 species